rnacentral:antisense_RNA from 1 species
GAGGGAUCGGUUCCCAUCAUCCAAUACCUCCCACCAGACUCCACUUCCAUCAUUGGAGGUCACAUUUCAACUGAGAUUUGGAAGGGACUGUAUCCUAACUAUAUUAACUUCCAAUUUCCAUCGAAAGCCCACCUGUCUAAGAAGAGCUCCUAGACAUUCCCUUUCCCCUUCAACUUGGAGGAAUUGGGAAUGACAAAGAGAAAUUAAUCAAAAGAAGAAUUAAUCUCUCCAAUCAGCCUUGGCAUUUUCUUUCUAUCUUUGAUAUGUUGUUUUUUACAGAGUGUCUUGGGUUUCAGAAUAAGCUGUUUGUAACUACUUCCUCCGCUAUAUUGUGAGCCUCUGGAGGGCAAGCUUUGAUAGAUUGACUUUGCCUCUUUUACUGCGUGCGUAGUGCCAUCUUGUGGCCAUAAAGCAUAUAACACUCAUAGUUAUGCCACAGCGCUUCUGUUCCAUCUUAUUUCUGUAGUCUAGAGGAUCUCUAAGUGUAGAAACACAUGGAUUAUUACUAGCCAAGGCCAUCACUGGCCAAGCCCAUCUAAAAGCCAGAGGCAGCAAGCAGUGCCCGUUGAAACAUCCAUAAAAGGUGAUGUUUGGUUAGCAACGUCCUACUGUAGACACUUUGAUGUGGUGGUGAUUGGAAGAUGGUCUGCAGAGAUCAACCAGAAUUAGCUCCACGUGCCACUUGGAGUGGGAACUGAAGUCACACAGGAAUAAAACAGUCUUCAUGCUUUAGGAUGUCCUGAUGUGCCAGUGUCGUGAAAUCUUCAUUCAUGAGACAUUCCAGUUUACCGGCAGUACAGAAUAGAAUAUG